rnacentral:rRNA from 1 species
GAUGAACGCUGGUGGCGUGCCUAAUACAUGCAAGUCGAGCGAACAGACGAGGAGCUUGCUCCUCUGACGUUAGCGGCGGACGGGUGAGUAACACGUGGAUAACCUACCUAUAAGACUGGGAUAACUUCGGGAAACCGGAGCUAAUACCGGAUAAUAUAUUGAACCGCAUGGUUCAAUAGUGAAAGACGGUUUUGCUGUCACUUAUAGAUGGAUCCGCGCCGCAUUAGCUAGUUGGUAAGGUAACGGCUUACCAAGGCGACGAUGCGUAGCCGACCUGAGAGGGUGAUCGGCCACACUGGAACUGAGACACGGACCAGACUCCUACGGGAGGCAGCAGUAGGGAAUCUUCCGCAGUGGGCGAAAGCCUGACGGAGCAACGCCGCGUGAGUGAUGAAGGUCUUCGGAUCGUAAAACUCUGUUAUUAGGGAAGAACAAAUGUGUAAGUAACUAUGCACGUCUUGACGGUACCUAAUCAGAAAGCCACGGCUAACUACGUG